rnacentral:tRNA from 1 species
AUCUAAAUAGUUUAUUAAAAAUAUUAAUUUGUGAUGUUAAAGUUAUAUACCUAUAUUUUAGAUU